GCCAGGCACAGGGCCUCAUACCUGUUCUUUAAGGGUACCCGGGGAGGUGAUGGGGGUCGGGAGGGGAUUCCUUUACCUCUUCCAUCAGGGACCUGUUUCCAUUCCCCCCCGUCUACUUGGUUUGCUCCGUCUGCCUGAUGGCAGGACGGGCAGGGCUUCACUGUUUCCUGCUGGACUUCUUCUGGGGUCGAGAGGGUAUGAUUCCACCAGUGUAUUUCCCUUUCUCUAAUACUUCUGAAUCUCUCCACUUCUUCCUCGAGCUCUGCCACUAAGCACAGCAAAUCAUUCACUCUCAUCGUAUGCAGGCAUCUCUCGCGCUGUCCUCUGGUACCGACACCAGGCUCAGACACUCUGGGCAGCCAGAGACCUGCAUGGCUGCGUCCUUCCUGGGGGUUCUGCCUGGGUUAGCACACUCCCCCUGAGAGCAACAACAACGGCUCUCGCUCCUUUGGAAACUAUUGCUGGGUCGAGUCGUAAGGCUGCUGAUUGUGAGAUGGAACAUAUUCUAGUGUAACAUUUGCAAAUGUAAUAGCUGUAGUCUCAAAAACACGGACAAAUUAGGUGGGGAGACUGGAAUCUCAGAUGUGUGCAAAAGCAAUGUAACUGAAUAUGAAGCAACACACUAAGCAACAUCCAAGACUAAUGUCUACUACAGUGAACCAAGUAUUUGUGCUCAUUUCUAGUUCUAAACAGAUUUCAACCAUGCAAGAAAAGGACCUGUAUGCCACUGCUGACAUUUCAGUCGAAAUGUUUGUUCAAGAAACUCAUUUGUAUUGAAAGCAAAUAAAUAAAACUUGAUUGAAUAUUUUGCCCACUGUAAA